rnacentral:rRNA from 1 species
AGUGAACGCUGGCGAUAGGCCUAACACAUGCAAGUCGAACGGCAGCACAGUAAGAGCUUGCUCUUACGGGUGGCGAGUGGCGGACGGGUGAGGAAUACAUCGGAAUCUACUUUUUCGUGGGGGAUAACGUAGGGAAACUUACGCUAAUACCGCAUACGACCUACGGGUGAAAGCAGGGGAUCUUCGGACCUUGCGCGAUUGAAUGAGCCGAUGUCGGAUUAGCUAGUUGGCGGGGUAAGGCCCACCAAGGCGACGAUCCGUAGCUGGUCUGAGAGGAUGAUCAGCCACACUGGAACUGAGACACGGUCCAGACUCCUACGGGAGGCAGCAGUGGGGAAUAUUGGACAAUGGGCGCAAGCCUGAUCCAGCCAUACCGCGUGGGUGAAGAAGGCCUUCGGGUUGUAAAGCCCUUUUGUUGGGAAAGAGAAGCAGCAGGUUAAUACCCCGCUGUUCUGACGGUACCCAAAGAAUAAGCACCGGCUAACUUCGUG